AAAAAAAAGAAAGAAAGCUCCAGAAGAUCAGAAGAGGAGGACUGAGGGCUGAUAAUAUAUGCAAAAUUGAGCCCAAGAGACGAGAAGACACGCAGUGGGCAAGGAGCCUGAGCAGGCUGACAGCUCGGGUGGAGUGAGCCCAGAAGCCCUGACAUUUCCUUAUACCAUUUUGUCUCUUUCUGUCAAGAUGAGUAGAAUCGGAGUGGUUGGCAGAGUUCAUUCAGGGGAGGAAGCAGCCACAGAAGAUCCCCUCGGUCUACUCUAUGAGGUCUGAAGAGGAACCUGGAUAUGAUUUGGAGUUUUUGAAGAAAUCUUGCUUUGAUGUGGUCCAAUCCAACUUCUUCAUUUGCUGGCCCAACAGAGACUGUGGGAGGUGGUACCCCUGUGGGGACCGACUCAGGGGACUGUAUCGUCCAGGGACCUCCAAGCAGGGGUU